CCCAGUUCUCUUGUAGGGAAAAACUAUGUAUGUGAUUAGGUAGGACAGUUAAAACUUACAGAGGAAGAAAGACCCCUGCCUUCAAAAUCUUUCCUAUUUGUAUCUGUAAGACAACAGUUUACUUUGACAUGGUUCAUACCCAUCUACAUAUAUAUAUAUAUAUAUUUUGGAAUUUACUAAACCUUGUCACCUGACCUUCUAAGAUAACCUAAUAUAGGAACAAAUUAGCAUAUAAUUCUAUUUUCCAUAUGACCUCUGCCACUUGCAGAAUUGUACCACCCCCUUUCGGGGGUGGUUUAGUCCCUUAUUCAUACCGUAGCCUUGGUGUUUGCAAAGGCUGUGUGCACCCACGCUGACGUUUUUGUUAUUGAAAACAUCUUAAAGUAGCAGUUAGAGGAAGCACUUCACCCCAUUAUCAAGUUAUUAAAAUGUCUCCACAAGGUAGCAUUUUCAGUUAGUGUCCACAAUUGAUUAGUAGGUUGUCUUCUCCCACAUAUGAAGCAGCAUGGCCAAGUUAAGUUGUAAUCAGUGGUGUACAAGAUAUUAAGGGCUGACAAGGAUUGUGACAAAUAAUUAUUAUUUUUCGAUUCAGCCAGUGUUCCUGGGUUUCCUGAGCUCUCAUUCUGUCUGGAUGUAAAGUAUGCAGAGCAUGCCGGUGCCUGGGAGAUGCUGCUGUGCUUAGAGGCAGCUGUUGAUGGACUGCAGUAUUCUAACAGCUCCAACGCAGCCUCUGGGCAGAAGUGACAGGAACCUAGGAGCACAUUAAAACUUCAAAACAAAGCAGUGGACUCUUGCAGUUUUUCCAUUCUGAAGACAGGAGCAUGAGACCAGGAGAGAGUCAAGAAAAUGCAGAUCUGGGGUCAAACAACUCAUCCUUGCAAUUGCCAUGAAGAGUCUUCAGUGACUUGUCUCCUCAAGGCUUCAGAACAUUCAGGAAUGUUCCCUUCUCUGAGCUGGGAGAGCAGAGAAGCCGAAGCAUCAAGAGAUUGGCCCCAGGUCAAACCACUGCUAGCUCCUUCAGGUGGGCAUGGGGCCUCUGCUUUCAAGGCUCAUGGGGUUUGCCUACUACCCCAAAAUAUAAAUGUGGGUUGAAUAACAGAGUGAUUAAUUUCACUUUCAGUGCCUUCCUUCUCGAGCUGGAGUGCUUCUGUAGAGACUCCUAAUUCGGUGAAACCUGUUUAGGGGAUCAUCCCUGCUAGACAGACAGCUGCGAGAGGGCAUUCGCUUCCCAGCAUGGAUUUCAGAUUAUGGCCAAUCAAGAGCCGGAGCUAAGGAACACCUGUCAACGGCGCUUGCUACAAGGAGACCAGCUCUUUAAUCGAAUUUCAUUGUACUUCAGAAAAAGGUUUAUUUUAAAUGUGGCGUCUGCUUUUAUGAUUCAUCCUUCUCAGCUGAGACAUCAAUUUGGGGCUUAUUUAUGAUGUUGUUCUAGGGUGAAACAAGACACUGCAAGAAAGUAUUUCAAAAAGGCAGCCUUUCCCAGACAUUCAGUUUGCAGCUUUCCUCGUGUGGAAAAAUAAAAAAGAAAUUUAAAACGUUAGUUUUGAGCUU
ensembl:lncRNA